CACGGAGGAGGAGCCAGCUGAGGAGACACAGCGAGAAGGUGACCAUCUGCAACCCAGAGAGAGAGGUCUCACCAGGCCCCAACCCUGC